rnacentral:tRNA from 1 species
CGGGGCGUAGCGCAGUCCGGUAGCGUACUUCGUUCGGGACGAAGGGGUCGGAGGUUCAAAUCCUCUCGCCCCGA